rnacentral:misc_RNA from 1 species
GACAAACGUGUUGAAACGGCGGAAGCACACGUUGCUGCUCUUCAAAAACAAGCAGCAGAUCUUCUUUUAGAAUACGACCGUCUAUUAGAAGACAAUCAAAAUCUUCAGAAUCAAGCUCAUGGUUAUCGGAGUUGAGAAAAAUAGACAGAAGCAGUUGGUUCAAAUUUUUGAUAAUUAUGUGCCUGCAUGUCUUGACCCUUCUUUAAGCAGAAACGGAUUUUGGGAAAUGUUGUUACUCAAUGAGAAUUUUGUAGUAUUGCUUUUCA